AUAUUUUCAGCAUCACAUUUUAAGAAUAAUAUGUGAAAUACAAUAUGUUUUAUUAGUCACCUUUGGAAAAUACAGUCUUCCACAAUCUGGAACCACCUCUUUGGUUCAAAAUGUGCCAUUCUUCUGUAAUGUGUGUGAUAAACUUAAAAAAAAUCUGUAUCCUUUAUCCUAAUCAUCUUACUUGAACAUCAUCCUGAAACAAAUGACAAAAACAUUCACAGUUUUAUAUACAAAGUUAUUGGUAACAAUGUUCUUAAUAGAAUUCAAUUAGAAAACAUAUAAAGGCAAAGGUAGAGUUAUUUGAUGUUAUGGUUUGAAAGGAUUCCCACACUCUCAUGAAUAUUCUUUAUUAUGCCAGAGGGACCCUAAUUCCCCUGCCUUUGAGUGUGGGAUGGCAUUGAUGAGUUACUUGUACCACAUAUAAUAAGCAGGAAGUGAUGGCACGUGACAUUGGAAACAACUUCGUAAAAGUCACCGAGACUCACUCCUUGCUUUCUCCUAUGUCUCCCACCUGGCAGGAAGCCAUUUGCCAUCAUGUAAGGCGAGUUCUUCUUAGUGAGGCAUUGACAUCUCCAGCCAGCAGUGCCGUGAGGGAGGUGGGCAGCUCAAGCCUCAGUCAAACCCUGAGAUGACCAUGGUCCCACUCAACAUCUCAGCUGUGACCAUGUGGGAGAAUCCAAGCCUGAGCCAAUCAGCCUAGCUGCUCCCAGAGUCCUGACUCUCAGAAACCAUGCCAGAUUAUACAUAUCUGCAGCUUUAAGCUUCUGAGAUUUUGGAAUGACUGAUGACAGAGCAAUAAAUAACUAAUACAUUUCACCACAUAUCACUUAGCAGAAUGCCAUGGAGCUAUUAAACACAAUAUUUUAUGAAGAUUAGUCUAUGAUAUGGAGAUAUACUCACAAUGUUAUUAGCAACACAACUAGACCAACUGAGUAUAGGUAGUAUAAUCUCAAUUUGUUCUAAAAAUAUAAAUCUGUACAAAGAUAGAAAGACCAGAAGAAAAAAACCAUUUAAUACUUGAUAGAUAAUUACAAUGGUAAAGAAUUUAGCCUUGAUCACUUGAUUUGAGAUGGAAUCUAACUUGCUAGCUGUAUACCCAUAGUUGUGGAUGUGUAACCAAUGAUUUGUAAACUAAUUCUCAGUUUACUCGUCUAUAUAAAAGAGCUAGUAAUAUUACCUAUUUCAUGCGGCUUGGGAGAAAUGAAUCAAUAAUAUAUAGAAGGGCUUAGUUCUCAUAUUGUGGCAAGUACUUCACAAAUGAUAAUUUUUACUAUUACAAUUUUUAUAAGGCUUUCUGUAAUUCACAAAUUUUCUAAUAUCUAUUUUAUGACUUUUGAAAUAAUUCUUACAAUAUCCCUUUUAGUAACCUUUAUUACAAAAUCUAUUGUAAUCUCUUAAAAUAAUAUUCCUUUUUGUUUUUCUCCGAGAUAGUCUAUCUAAUGAUGUUACAAUAGAGUUACCAACAAAUGCCAUAUUUCAUUCCUGAGCGUCUAUAUUCUUGAGUUCCUAGCAACAGAGAACAAAGUAGCAACCAUUUCUUAAGAAAAUGCUGAGAUGGACACCAGAGUUUCAAGCAAUUUUCAUCCAGAAGGUCACAUGUUAGGAGUAAAAGCUAUAUGGAAUCUUGAACAAGCAUAGCAUCUAAUAGCCUUAUUUGAUUAAAAAAAUGAAUACACACAAAAAUUUUUUGAAGACUAACUACCCCUUAGAAAUGUUCGUUAACUUGGUCAGUAAUAUAAGCCUACCUCCCAUUUAUUCAAUAGAUCAGGUAACUCCCCUCUUUGUUAUGAGCCUAGUUUUCUAGAGGUGGACCAGAUUCCAUCAUAUGUACAUCACUCAGCUAGUUGAGCUCUCUAAAUGAAAACUUCAGCCGUAGCCACUGGAUAGAAGAAUACAAGAAGGAAUGCCGACUUGAGGAGCAAGUUGUGUUGAGUUCAGGCAUUGCUUUGGAGAAUCUGCUUCUUCACCUGCUGGCUUAAAGGGUUGGAUGACCUGAGGCAGCAGCAGAAGUUUAGACAAUUAUGGUUGGAUGAUUCUUAACUGUCCUAAUCCCAAGUCCUCAAUUUAUAAGUGAGGAACUGGAAAAUCAUUCACACAGCUAGCUGCAAGCAAUGACAGCCUUGGAGAGAAAUCAACCUGUGUACAGCUCAGUCCCAUCUGAGUUCUUUGGAGAACAAACUCCAGCAGCUACUUCUAGAAAAUAUAGACAGCAUAUUCAGCCAAUCUCCUGAGCUGGUGGGACAUUUUUACAUGAACAAGGCCUCCCUCCACAUGAAUUGCAAAGAUUCAGUGGACUUUGCAUGAUUAUUCUUCUAAUCUUACAUUAAGCUUUAUUUUGGAUUUUAAAAAAAUCUGCCACGUGUAAGGGCACCAAUGUCCACCAAUAUUGUUAUAUAAAAUAACAUUAUUAAUCCUUCCUGUUUAUCUUUUAAUCAGAACUAAGAGGGAUGGUGGAUGAUGAAUGCAUGAGUCAUACUUACUUCAUGAUUCUAUAAAUCCUAAUUUUCACUUUUUUUAAAUAAAAAUUGCACGCAAACCAAAAAGAAGCUGCCUAAAACAGACGUGGAGAUACUCUACUUAGGUUUCCCAGGGAAAGACAAUUUUAAAAAACAAUUUUAGCAACAAAAAUACAUGGGCAGGGAAUACACGCAUUUAUUAUCAUUUUUCCUCUUAAAGCAGCUAUGAUGAGACACGUCCAAAACACCUGCUCUUGUGUACUGCCCAGUUUCACGUGAGUUCUGUGGGAUAACACUGAAUCCACUCUUCAGCUACAGUGAGGAAGUGAUAGAACUGCUUCUGGCACACCAAAGAACAGCACAGAGGUCCAAAUACAUCUUCCUUAGGUGCCCAUGAAUUUAAAUUUAUUUCUGCUUUAUCCUUUAAAAAAAAAUCUAAUGAUUUCAAAUGCCUUGCUGAAAUCAACACCCUCUGCAACAGCCCUCUCAGGAUAGUUCAUCCUAGUAGGUCUGUCAAAACUGAAACACCAACAUGUGAGUUCCUCCUCUGGGUUUUAAAUGUUAGUACUGUGACUACUUCUUUGUUUGUUUUCACUUUUAAUUGACAAAUAAUAACUGUAUAUGUUAUACAGUAAAUCUGACAUUUUGAUAUAAAAUGAUAACUAGUGACUAUUUAUUGCUGUGAUGUUGUCCCCGCUUGUUUAUUGGCUCUGAUGGAACUUUUCAGGGGAAUGGUUAUAACUGAAAAAUCUGUAAUGCUAGGAAUUUAACUUUUCUACAUAAAAUGCAUUUUUUCUUA
ensembl:lncRNA novel transcript